CCAAUAGCGUAUAUUAAAGUUGUUGCAGUUAAAAAGCUCGUAGUUGAAUUUCGGAAUCUGUCCGUCGGUCGGGCUUCACUGUCCGUACUGGCGUGAUGGGUUUCUACCUUCUGAAUAACCGGCAUGUCAUUAAUUUGGUGCGCCGGGGAAGCAGAACUAUUACCUUGAAAAAAUUAGAGUGCUUAAAGCAGGCUAUCGCCUGAAUAGAUUAGCAUGGAAUAAUAAAAUAGGACGGCAUGGUUCUAUUUUGUUGGUUUCUAGGAUCACCGUAAUGAUUAAUAGGGAUAGUUGGGGGCAUUAGUAUUCAAUUGUCAGAGGUGAAAUUCUUGGAUUUAUUGAAGACUAACUUCUGCGAAAGCAUUUGCCAAGGAUGUUUUCAUUAAUCAAGAACGAAAGUUAGGGGAUCGAAGACGAUCAGAUACCGUCGUAGUCUUAACCAUAAACUAUGCCGACUAGGGAUCGGACGAUGUUAAUUUUUUAAUGACUCGUUCGGCGCCUUACG
rnacentral:rRNA from 1 species